UACGUAGGGGGCUAGCGUUGUCCGGAAUCAUUGGGCGUAAAGCGCGUGUAGGCGGUCCGGUAAGUCCGCUGUGAAAGUCGAGGGCUCAACCCUCGAAUGUCAGUGGAUACUGCCGGGCUAGAGUCCGGAAGAGGCGAGUGGAACUCCUGGUGUAGCGGUGGAAUGCGCAGAUAUCAGGAAGAACACCAACGGCGAAGGCAGCUCGCUGGGACGGUACUGACGCUGAGACGCGAAAGCGUGGGGGAGCGAACAGG
rnacentral:rRNA from 1 species